rnacentral:rRNA from 1 species
AGGACAAACGCUGGCGGCGUGCAUAAAACAUGCAAGUCGGACGAGCCAAUCUCCGCAAGGGGAAAGGCUAGUGGCGAACGGCUGAGUAACACGUAGGUGAUCUGCCCUGAAGUGGGGGAUAACGACGUCGAAAGAGUCGCUAAUACCGCAUGUGACCAUCGAUCCGUUUUCGAUGCUCAAAGUCGUAAGACGCUUUAGGAGGAGCCUGCGGCGGAUUAGCUAGUUGGUGAGGUAAUGGCCCACCAAGGCUUCGAUCCGU